rnacentral:rRNA from 1 species
CGCCAUUCGCCCUUGGGGUGCAGCAGGCGCGAAAACUUUACAAUGCCGGCAACGGCGAUAAGGGAACCUCGAGUGCCAGGUUACAAAUCUGGCUGUCGUGAUGCCUAAAAAGCAUUGCAUAGCAAGGGCCGGGCAAGACCGGUGCCAGCCGCCGCGGUAACACCGGCGGCUCGAGUGGUAACCGUUAUUAUUGGGUCUAAAGGGUCUGUAGCCGGCCGGAUAAGUCUCUUGGGAAAUCUGGCAGCUUAACUGUCAGGCUUUCAGGAGAUACUGUCUGGCUCGAGGCCGGGAGAGGUGAGAGGUACUUCAGGGGUAGGGGUGAAAUCUUGUAAUCCUUGAAGGACCACCAGUGGCGAAGGCGUCUCACCAGAACGGACCUGACGGCAAGGGACGAAAGCUAGGGGCACGAACCGGAUUAGAUACCCGGGUAGUCCUAGCCGUAAACGAUACUCGCUAGGUGUCGGCCACGGUGCGACCGUGGUCGGUGCCGUAGGGAAGCCGUGAAGCGAGCCACCUGGGAAGUACGGCCGCAAGGCUGAAACUUAAAGGAAUUGGCGGGGGAGCAC